rnacentral:rRNA from 1 species
GAUGAACGCUAGCGGCAGGCCUAACACAUGCAAGUCGAGGGAGAAGCCCUUCGGGGCAGAAACCGGCGCACGGGUGCGUAACGCGUAUGCAACCUACCUUUCACAGGGGGAUAGCCCGAAGAAAUUUGGAUUAAUACCCCAUAAUAUUAUUGGAUGGCAUCAUUUGAUAAUUAAAAUUACGAUGGUGAAAGAUGGGCAUGCGUCCUAUUAGCUAGUUGGAGUGGUAACGGCACCCCAAGGCUACGAUAGGUAGGGGUCCUGAGAGGGAGAUCCCCCACACUGGUACUGAGACAGGGACCAGACUCCUACGGGAGGCAGCAGUGAGGAAUAUUGGUCAAUGGUCGGAAGACUGAACCAGCCAUGCCGCGUGCAGGAAGAAUGCCUUAUGGGUUGUAAACUGCUUUAUAUGGAAGAAUAAGGAGUACGUGUACUUGAGACGUACC